UACGUAGGGUGCAAGCGUUAAUCGGAAUUACUGGGCGUAAAGCGUGCGCAGGCGGUUUUGUAAGUCUGACGUGAAAUCCCGGGGCUCAACCUGGGAAUUGCGAUGGAGACUGCAAGGCUUGAAUCUGGCAGAGGGGGGUAGAAUUCCACGUGUAGCAGUGAAAUGCGUAGAGAUGUGGAGGAACACCGAUGGCGAAGGCAGCCCCCUGGGUCAAGAUUGACGCUCAUGCACGAAAGCGUGGGGAGCAAACAGG
rnacentral:rRNA from 1 species